rnacentral:lncRNA from 1 species
GCAUUAUGCUAAGUUCUGAAGAUACAGAGAAGAUUACAACAGGGUCCCUCGCCUUAGGCGCUCACAGUCAUGAGCCAGGACACAGAUAUUGGACUAAAAGAGGAAAAUUAAAUGUCACGAGUGCUGUGAGACAGAAGGCGAGGCUGCCCUGGUAGCAACAAAGGAGGUGGCAGCCUCUCCUCCAGAUCCUGUAAUGAGGACUGUGGCCAGCCUCUGAGUAGCUUCAGGACAGGCUUGUCUUGAUGUGGGGGAACAGGGUCGAUGACCUCAAGAGGCCCCUUUUAGCCACAGGAAUCUGUCAUGUGGAGUUCUCAAUUGCUGGCUUUGCUGGAAAAGAGAGAGAGAAAAAAAGAGGGAAGAAAUAGAGGGGCCGGUCAGCCCUCCUGGACAUUUAUGCUUGCGGUCUCAAACCUCCAUUUCCUGGGGCUGCAGGCUGUGUGUGGGAGGCGUGCAUGGUGGCUUGGCCGGCCCGGCGCUCCUGCAGCCCGCUCUGGGGACGGCUGUCUGUUGGCAGUCCCCUCCCUGUGCAGCGGUGGCGGCCGGUGUGGACAGACCUCCUCUCUGUCUGGCUCGUCAGCGUCCUGUGGCAAAGGGUAGAGUGGAGCCUGUGUUUCUGAUGGCCGCUCCACCCCUCAGAGUGGGGCAGUCUAGUGAUUCUGAGGGUGACGCUGGCAUGUGCCCCUCGGCCCCAUCCCCCUCAAGGGAGAUUGUGGACAAGGCAGCUUUUCUAAUAAGCAGCCUCUGCUUGCCCUGUAGGAGAUGAAAGACUGUGUGUAAGAGUGGGUAAUUUUGGGUUUUCCUGAUGAAAGCAGUUGACAUUUGUUCAGACCUCGUGCACACAGCUCCCCUGCCUUUCAUCUCUGCUAUGAAAGCCUGGCCCGUCUUUGGCCUGCAUCCGGGACGGGCAGUGCCACCGGAACUGAACUGGGCCAAUGGCAAACUAUAAAGGAAACGGGUGGAAUGACCCUGGGGGGCUGUGGAUGGAGGAGUGGACACCGCAGGGCGAGUUCUGACUUUCCUGGAGGGGCUGCUCCCUGGUGUCGGAUUGUGCAUUGCGGUGCCGUGGAAAGAGCACGCCCUGUGGAGCCGGGCAGGGCUGGCUGAAUCCGAGUGCCGGCUCCUCCCCUUCCACACUGAGUGAAUGUAGGGGGUCAUUUGUCCUCACUGAGCUGUGUCCUCAUUUGUCGGUGGGAUAAUAUCACUGCCAACUCUUGUGGCUUUCACAGCUCAUCUUAGGCGCUGUCUGGAGCCCAGUAGGUCCUCAGGAAUGUUCAUUGGCUUCUACCUGAAUGGGUGAACUUGACCUUUUGUGCUGUAGGCACUGUCAGACUGGAACUGGGGACUUGCGUUGUUCAACCACAUACAGUUCCCAUACAGUGUCUGCCGUAUAGCAGGUCCUCCUCAGUGACUGGCAGGUGGCUCCAUGGAGAAAGGAGAGUUUGCUUCCGCCUCUCGUACAGCUCGUCUAGCUUUGCAGAGAAAGAGAAUGAACAAAGAGGUUACAUAACUUGAGUCUCUGAAACAGGCCAGGUUGUACAGUCUUUCUCAUGUGCAUUCAUAACGCAGGGAGCAAAUGCUUCAGACUUGACUCAUUGAUGGAAUCCCUGCUGCAGUCCCAUCUAACCACCCAUGAGAUAAGUUGCUACCCAACAGGAGCAACCUGGCCACCUGUCUGUCCAAUUUGCUCUUGAAUACCUCCACUGCUGGAGCACUCAUUACCACUGAAAGAUGGUGUUGAUGCUUCUGAUGUUCUUUCUUCUGCUGAUGAGUGAUGGGCGCUUUCUCUGGGCUUUCUGUGUUCUGAUCCUCGGGGCCCUCCUGAUGAAACAGACCCCUGUCACAGAUGACAGCUUUUAAGUUGAUGAAGGCAGAUGCCACGUCCUUUCUGAGUCCUCUCCUCCAUUGGGUCAACCACCUACCUAGUUGAGUGGCAUUGGUUUUGCCCCUUAACCUCCCUGAGCUUGUUUCUGCAGUUCUUGAGCACUGUUUAAAGACGAGGUUCAAUGAAAUAAUGCACGUCCAGAACACAGGACAUGCUGAGUUCAUGUGGCACCCCCUCCCCAUGAUGCAGUUGCAUGUGGAGUUCAGGAACGUGACAGCCCUCCACUUUUAAACAGGGGGCAGGGAAGCCUCAGGUGGCAUUGGUUUGUGUGUUUAUUUAUUUUUUUUUGAGCAAGAUUAGCCCUGAGGUAACAUCUGCCAUGAAUCCUCUUUUUUGCUGAGGAAGACUGGCCCUGAGCUCACGUCCGUGCACAUCUUCCUCUACUUUAUAUGUGGGAUGCCUACCAUAGCAUGGCUUGCCAAGCGAUGCAUAGGUCCAUACUCGGGAUCUGAACCUGUGAACCCUGGGCCACCAAAGCGGAACGUGCGCACUUAACCGCUGUGCCACCGGGCCAGCCCCAUGUGUGUUUAUUUUUUAAAGCCACUUAUCCCCACGCUUCCUGUAGUGCCCGGGCGCUGGAGAGCAUGCCCGUUCUAAUGCGCGGCACCUUUUCAGCAGGCUGGGGAGCUGAAAGUUCCCUGAGCUCAUCUUAGAUGCUGAUUAUUUCAGGGAAACUGGCAGUGACUUCUUCUCCCACAUGGAAGGGAUUCAGGGAGCAAAGCCGUUUCCUCUUCUUAACCCUCCAGUCUGGAAAGUGACACUGUGUCAGUUUGUCAGGGUUUUAGGAGGAGGCCUUUGCAGACUGUGCCCUUCUCCUCCUUUUGUGAAAUUGUCUGUGGCGGGUUUGUCUCUCCCCUGAUUAGUCACCACCAGGCUCUGUUGGGAGACUCUGGCACAGGGCAGUGGAAAGGACACUGGACCAAGAGCCUGGAGGUUGGUGCCUGAUCUUUGCUCCGCCUGGAAGAGCUGCGUGGCCUCUGUUCAGGUUUUCACCCUGGCUGGGCCUCCCUUACCUGUUUAAGGGGUGGGUUGGCCUUUUCAGGCCCAGCAGUGUGGGCAUCCUGGGGGUCUCCAGGAAGGUCAGAAAGUGGAAGGAAAGCCCCCAUGGCCCCACCUGUAAGCCCGCCAUCCCGUUUUCAGGCUCCUCUCCCUUUUCUCCUGCACUGAAUGCCGUGUGUCCCAGCGCUUCGGGGGUUCUCUGAGUCUCCUGCCAUCUGCCAGGAGCAGCAGCAGGCAGCACAGCCUCUGCACGUGAAGAAGCAUCUAUAGCCAGGAUUGAAUCCAAAUGCCUUGGCCCGACACAUCCGCCCUUCAUUCUGAACUCAGCCUGCUCUCUUGCCUGCCCCCCCACCAGCCCUUCAUGCUGCAGCCACACAGAAGUUGAGGGGUCCUCCGUAUCUGUGUUCCUGCAGACAGACUGCACCGGGAAGCAGAAGUCAUCGUAACAUGAAAAUAUGCACUAAUAAACUCAUUGCUAACGUCCAGCCCACCCACAUCCGACGAUAAUCAGUCUUUUACUGAUUGCCAGACGUUGUAAACAUCUGUCAGUCCGGGGCACGAAUAGCAGAAACUCUUAACUGACCUCCAUUUGGCUCCUUUGCUGGAUUAAUUGAUGCUGCCCAUUCCGUUUGUACAGCAAACUGAGCGAGGCCCCAGGCUUACUGAUGGCUUGGGGCUGGUGGGCUGCUCACAAGCCCAGUUUUUCCAGAUUCAAAGUUUUGUUCUGCCCUAACUGUGUGGCCUUGGGCGAGUUAAAUAACCGCUCUGUGCCUGUAUGUUUCAUCUGCAAAAUCAUACUGAAACUAGUACCUACCUUCCAGGGUGAUGCUGAGCAUUAGAUGAAUUAAUACAUGUAAAAGCUUACAACGGUGUUUCCUGGCCCGUGGUAGACGCCCGUUGAAUGUUAGCUUUGAUAUUCAUGGGCCAGGAAGCCUUCUACCACCUGUAGAUUUGUGCGCUGGCCAAAAGUUGUGUUGGUAGUUACAUGUCACGUAAACUGAUGAGAAUUGAGUUUAAAAAGAAAGUUGUUGCCUGAAAAUUAAGUUUAGUACUUUGGAAAGAAUGGAUGACAUUGAUUCGCUAAAAAGUUGUCAUCGAAUCGCUUAGAGGCAAAACAGCUGUAAAAAAUAGGCCGAAAAAUUGUAAAACUGUAAGAGUCUGUAUUCCAUAUGCUUUGCAGAUGACUUAAGUUUUGCACUCCUUGAAAGAAAUGGAAAUCAGAAGUCGUAGAUGUUGAAUCGUGACUGUGUAUUUUGCAAGAAAGACAAUUGGCACGUCAGGUCAGUGGGCCAAAGAAAGACCCUGCCUUUCGAUUGGCUAAUAAAUGCGCAGCUGUACGGAAAUAGUUCACUGUCUGUCCUGGUUACGGUGGCUCACUUUUCCAAUGACAUACCAGUGCGGGAGUUGGGUCACAGGGCUUGUUCUCUCCAAGCAGAUCAACUGCCAGCAAUUGCUCGUCUUGCCCAGACUGCGGGGUUUCCUGAUGCAGGUGAAGGUGCUGUGGGCGUGCGGCGUGAAUUACGUGCACGUACCCAGCACCUCCUGUGUGCAGGCACUGCUGGAGCGCCUGAUACACUAGUGCUGACACAGGAAAGAGACACAGGCAUGGCCCUGAGAACUGCUGUCGGGGAGUCCUGGGGGGCUUCACCAUGGAGAGGAGGAGGAAAAGAUGAGGACCCUCUGGGCAAAUCAAAAGAAAGUGACUUAAAAAUAAAAACAGUUGCAAGGCGUUGGGAACAUUAACAAAGUCCUGAAAGAUGUUUUACAAAAUGAUGCUUUUUAAUGAUGUUUUUAAUGAUGCUUCUCACUUAAAAGAGUGAGAAGGUUUCUAUUGUGUGAGAAAACAUGUGCGAGGAAAACCUCGGGGUCAGUCAUUGUUUGCACAACUGACACUUAGAGCCCAGUUGAAAAUGACAACUUGAAAUUUAAGUAUGAGACAAACCUUGUUUUAUAUUUAUAAUUAUUUAUCAUUUAUAUAUGACAUUUAUAAUAUAUAAAUGAUAAAUUAUUAACUUAUGAAUAUAAAAUAUCUUACAAUUCUUUGUUUCUUUUUUCAAGAUAAAGUCUCCCAGAGGAGGGCUAGGACAAGUGACAGGAGUGGCCCCAGAUCACAGCCAAAUGAAGGGGAGCACUGGGAAUCGGGAGCAGGUGGUGGCAGUUUGUGUUGUUAAGAUAAAGGCUGCCCCUCCCCGUGGCACACACAUGUCUUACUUACUCUAAAUAUCUGGGCCUUAUUUUAAGUGGCUUCAAGUGGCUUUUUUUGAGGUCCUCUUCUCCACACAGUCCCAUGCCCCCAGGUCUUUGCUCUUGCUGUUUCCUCUUCCCUGCCUUAUCUGCACCUCUCUACGCUCCCUUCUUCUCUCUGCAUGGCCCUCAUCAGAGACUCCUUCUGUGUCUUGCUCAGGGUGCACGGGGGGAUCCCCUGAGCAAGGACCUGACUUCCUUCUCUGUGUCCCCCUGGCUCAGUCCCCCUGCCCACACAGCGGGAAGAAGGGAGGGCUGGGAGGUUUAGGAGGGAGGGGUCCUCCCAGGCUGGGGCAGGGCCUCUGUCCUUCCUGAGCUUGGCCUCCCUCUGCCUUUACUUCUGUGCCGACCUGGUGGAGACAGGAUGGGUGGGAAUUCCUAGAAUAGAUGGGGGAGGUGCUGAUGUGAGUCUGGCCUGGCUGUUCCCCUUGCGGCCAGCAGUGCCAUCCCUGUGCAUUAGCCCCUCUCAGAGGUCUCCAGGUCCCAGAAGGAGUCAUCGGAUGACCUAGGAGGCAUUAGCAGUCACCUCCCCACCCUGCAGUUUACCAGCAACACUGAUAGCCCCUGACGUGUGUUUUCGGCAGUGUUUUGUAGCUUCCAGAGAACAUUUCCUCACCCUGGUCGCUAAUUCUCAUUUGCUGAUUAGGCCACGGAAGAGGACUGGGACAAGUGACCGGAACUGCCCAGGGUCACAGCCCAGCGAAGGUACAGCUAGGAAUCGGAAGCAGGUGGUGGCGGUGGCCUUCUUAAUCACAAUGAUUAUAGCCACAUGAUGCUGGACGCCUUAGAGCACCAUCGUAUUUACUCACAAGUGACUCGUUGAAGCAAGUGGGCCUUUCCACUGUCUUUUACAGUGGGGGAUACUAAGGCGAGCAGGUUGAAGUCGGGCUGUGAGGCCCGAGAAUUCGUCCCAAGGUUCUCCCUCCACGUCCACCGUUCAGAUCAGGGCCCAGCACGGCUGCACUUGGACAGGCAUGGAUGGGGUAGGUUGGGGAGACCCCAGAAGGCGUUCCUCCUCCGCCUGUGCGCCUCUCACCGCCCUGGUUUGGAGCCCCCCCUUUCUGUUGGUGGGGGUCUCUGAAGGAAGACAUCCCCCCCGACCCCCAGCAUCUCAUGUUCUCAGGAGCCACGCAGAGCACAGUUGGAGCCAGAGACCUGCUGCUUUUGGUGCAAAGGCUGUUUGGUUUUAUUCCACAGGCAGUGCGGGGAAGAGAAGACUAAACAGUGGAGGCCCCUCCUAACCUGGGGGCACAGCGAGGAGGAGGAGGAGGAGGAAGGCAGUGUGCUGGAAACAAAGGGAGGGAAGGUGAGGGCAGAGUCUUACUGAUGGCGGCGCCCCCCGCGCGCUUCCCUGGGUUGUAUAAUCAGCUGUCACUUCGGCCUUUCCCCACAUCAGGCUUCACAAGUACAGAGUGAACAUUAAACAAACAGUGACUGCUCUAUAAAUAUUUAACUCCCACUGUUUAGGAAUUGCUCGGGGCAGGAGACGGAAUAAGAGUUCCUGGCUGUCGGCUGCGUGGCCCUCUGUCAUGGCGGUGGAUGGCUAGGAGUUUGGGUGCCGGGCAGCAGCUGUUCCAAAAGCCUUGUGGCUUUCAACUGGGCAUGUCUUCCCUCCUUUUGGAGGGUGUAUUUGGGGACACGUGUCUUUGUGUUCAUGGAGUAGUUCAGACCCAGCACGCUGUGUUCUAGAAGCCAUCAGCUAACAUUUCUGCCCAGUGGCUGGGAUCCAUCAUGAGUGGCAUUGUUGUCAUUCCUUCAUGUGACAGCAAAACUCUUCCUUUCUUUUUUUUUAACAGCAUUGUCAAGAUGUAAUUCACAUACGCUACAAGUCGCCCGUUUAAAAUGUACAGUUCAGUGGUUUUAAUAUAUUUGUGGAGUUGUGCAACCAUCACUACAGUCUGUUUUAGAACGUUUUUAUCACCCCCAAAAGAAACCCCAUAUGCAUUAGCGGUCCACCUCUUAUUACCCCCAAUUUACCCAGCCUUAGGAAACCGCAAAUCUCCUUUCUGUCUCUACAGAUUUUUCUAUUCUGGACAUUUCAUGUGAGUGGAAUCAUACCUGGGUUUUUUUGUGACUGGCUUACUUCACUUAGAUAUUGUUUCUAAGUUUCAUCCAUGAAACUUGUAGCAUGUGUCCAUACUUAAUUCCUUUCUGUGGCUGAAUAAUAUUCCGUUGUAUGGAGAGACCCCAUUUUGUUUACCCAUUCACCUGUUGAGGGACAUGUAGAGAGAGCAAAAGUCUUUAGCUGAAAAAUCAAGAUGUGACUGAUCCAGUGUCACAUGAUUGAGACUAAACUCACUCACAAAGCAGAGUCUCCACCAUUCUGGGAAAGGUCUAGGAGGUUACCUUAAAGCACGGCAUGGGGGUUAAAAUGUGUUCAGCUGACAAGCCACUCAGCUUUUAUGUAGCACUGACUGUAUGCCAGGCGUUGUAGUAGGCCCAUCUCCUAAUUUGUUGCAAAUAUCUGAUUGUAUAGUCCCUUCCUUAAAAAGAUCUACCCAUUUAUCAAAGCCCAUCCAGCUAGAUUUUUUUCGGGCGGGAGAACGGGAGAAUAAGUUUGUGUUCUUGGCCCAUUUCUUGUGAUUUCAGAUGUUGACUCUUUAGGAGAGAGGAGCAGAGAAGAGCUGCGACUCUCCGGGGUGCCCUUCCUGUCACCUCCCGCCGUGUUGUCCCUGGGUAGUGCUUUUCCCAUCCACAGUGGCCCUUGGAGUCCCAGAUGUUUCCAGCACUUAUUUGAAAGGCUGAUUCAGUCCAGGUCCAGUCCCUGGCUUAGGCAGGCUGGCUCUGCAGGAAAUGGUAAAAAAUGGGGCUGUUAUUGUUCCUGGUCAUCUAAUUAUGACUAACGGUAAUGGAUGCUGUGGAUGUCCUGCCCAAGUCCCCUUUACCAGACCGGCACACUCACCCCCAGCUGCUAAAGUUCACGGCACCCCCAUCUCUGGAGGUUUGCUGCCUCAUCCGGGAAGUUGCUCAUCUCCCCCCGCCCCCAGCCCCUGCUGACUCAGGGGCACAAAAGGCCAGCCCCCUUGCUUCAAAGUGGGGUGAACUCUGGGGUGCUGUUCACGUGCCAGAGCUCCCGGUGGGAUCAGGCUGAGGCGAGUGUCCGCCUGAAUCCACGUCCUUGCGGAGCCCCUCCGCUGUCUGUCCUGCGCCCCUCACUCCUUUUCUCCUGAGCAUGCUCCCCAGUCAACACCCAAACAAGAAUUCCCAUCUCAGGAUGUGUUCCUGGGGAGCACACCCUUCCUGGGUCCCUCUGAUGACGUUUACUUGGAGGUUCUCUGCCUGACCUUCCUGGCAGGGCCCGCUGGGUGUUCUGUUUUGUUUUGUUGGUUUUGGUUUCAAAGUCUUCUCAGGCUAAUCCGGCUCUUGGAAAGGUCUGCAGUGAAUCAGAGUCCUGGCAUGCUUCCCCUCCUGCCUCCCUCUCUCCCGAUUUCCUUUCUCUCCCUUCCUCCCUCAUUCCCCGUGAGCAUCCUCUCCCGUGUCGGCAGUGAAUGCAGCAGCAAGAAAAAAAGACUUGGGAAGACACUCUUUUCGGCAGGCUCAGCAGCCUAGGUACCAGAUGGCCUUGGGGUCAAGUCCAGGCCUGCCACUCAGUAACCAGAAUCCUGUUACACCUGGGAUUUAGGUGCCUUCAAUCUGGAAAAAAUACAUAUCCGUUCAGCACUCCAGAGGGACUUCAGAGCUGUCCUUCCCUGAACUAAAGCUGGAGUAUUUUAGGAUUUGGAGAAUUAAGGUGAGGAAACUACUGCUCAGAGAUGUGAAAUAACUCAGCAGAGGUCACACAGCUAAUAAGUGACAAACAGGAAUGUCCAAGCAGUGAAGGUCAUUUCCAGUCGCCGAGUCUUUCACAAGCCCAUGUCUGGACCGGGACAUCUCAUGUCUCAUCGUGAGCAGGAGACUGGAAAAUAACUGGCCGGAGGGGAUAGGCCCAGCAGUAACACUGGCCCAGAGAGAAUUGAGUGCUUUUUCCCGGUGACAAGAAGACACACGCAGCUGGAAAAAGGAGCCUAGGCCGUCACCAUGUUCCCCAAAUAGCAGAACACCUCCCUCCUUCCCACCUUCUCUCCCGUGGCACAGAAUACGUUUUACCAGGGAUCGGUCACUGCUGAGCUGUCGUCACUUAAUGUGGCUUUGACAGAAUAGUUGGUCUGGAAAUCUUAUUUUCAAUUAAAUGACCUUAUUGAACUGCCUUGGUUUUGAAAAGAUUCCAUUAGGAUGGCUAAUUAUAUAGCAGUUGCUCCAAGGAGAUGCUGGCACUCCAUUUCAGCUCUUAAGUAAUUCGAAUCAAAUGCUGUCUUCUUUCCUCCUUGGAGCUGUGAGCGACCGUCUUCCUCUCACACUGCAGGCUUCUCGUGAGUUAUUUUUGGAAAUCCAAGUCAAAACAGCAAUUUUGGCAGAGGCCAUUUCUAGCCUAGCAGAGUAAACCGUAUGUACUGAUAAAAACAGCCGAAGAGUCAGUGCCUUUAAAAAGCAACUAAACCAUCUCCUUCUGUGGGGGUUAAAUUUGGGGGACCUCCAAACUGUCCUUUGUACUGUCCUAUUCCUUCGUGAGCUCUAACUGAAGUCAAAGACAUUGGAAUUCCUUUAAGAUUAGCAAAGCUUUGUCCGUUUGCAAACUGUCAUCAUGGUCAUUUUGUUUCAAGGUGGCAGGCCUUGGCAGAAUUUACCAGGCACUCUGUUUUGGCCUCUGGAUCUCCCCUGAAACGUGGAAAUCACUUUCUGUUCCCAUUCUGUGCUGUUUGCUUCUGUCACCAGAGCACUCGCGACAUUCCUCGCGACAUUCCUCGUUACGCAUACCAAGCAGUCAGAUCUUCCUGCUCACCCGUUAGAACGGAGCUUCUUGUGGCCAGGGGCUGUGUUUUUCAUCUUAUUUCCUUCCUGGCCCAUAAUAGAUGCUCAAAUAGUUGGAUGAAUAGAUAGACUAGAUAGAUGAAUGAAUAGAAUCCUAUUUCUAUUUUUCUCCUUUUUAAAAAAAAAAUCAAUCAUUUAUUACAUAAAUAGUAAAUGAAUGUUUUCACCUUGGGGGGAAAAAACAGUUUCCAAAUAAGGUUAAAGUCCUUUUUUUUUUUUCCAGUUUUCUUUUUUUUUAAAGAUUGGCACCUGAGCUAACAACUGUUGCCAAUCUUCCUUUUUCUUUUUUCCUGUUUUUUCUCCCCAAAUCCCCCCAAUACAUAGUUGUGUAUUUUAGUGGUGGGUCCUUCUAGUUGUGGCGUAUGGGACACCACCUCACUGUGGCCUGAUGAGCGGCGCCAUGUCUGUACUCAGGAUGCGAAUCAGUGAAACCCUGGGCCGCCGAAGCAGAGCACACGACCUUAACGACUUGGCCCCAGGGCCGGCGCCUGAAGUCCUUUUUUGAUCACUGCCCAUGAUCCUUGUUUCCCCAUCAUCUCUGCUUAGGUUAUCCCUUUGGAGCACAUCCUCACAGACCUCUCUAAUGCGUUUAUGUACACGCACAUACACACACACAGAGUACUGUUUUUGUAGACCUGUGAUAAAGAGAUUAUUCUGCAACUUGCCUUUUCCUACUCAGCAAUAUAUCAAGUGCUAUCCAUGUCAGCUACCUUAUUCUUUGUAACUGCUACAUAGUUUUAUUACGUUGUGUGGCUAUAAUACCUUUUAUGUGGACCAAAUAAAUAAAUUCCUUAUCUGUUUUCAUGCUCAUUAUAGUUCAGGAUCCCUUCUCCUGUAUAUGUUGACAAACUAACCCUGUCCACUGCUAUCUUUUGGUAGCUACAGUACAUUUCAUCAGAAUCAGCCAAUUGCCCUGGGGAUUUUGCUAAACCAGUAGACAGAAUCAUGAGAAAUGAAAUGAGGGUUGCCAGAGGGACCUGAAUUCCCUUCUCUGCAGAAGCUAGGGAAGUAGGUGCACUCUGCACUGGGAAUACCACAGGUCUGGAGAGCGAGGGAUGUUAGAUUUCCUCGGGCAGGUCAUUUCCUAUCCCUGGACCUUAUUUUUCUCAUCUGCCCAAUGGACUCAGUGAGCCUCUUUCAACUGUUAGACCCUGAAUAAUAGGGCUGACACAGUGCCACCAGAACGGAUAAACAGAAUAUAUUAACUCUCUCUCCGCUAUGUGGCGGGAUGGGAAAGGGGCACGUUAAAAAUACUUUUUACGGGCCGGCCCCGUCGCCGAAUGGUUAAGUUCAUGUGCUCUGCUUUGGUGGCCCAGGGUUUGGAUCCUGGGCGCGGACAUGGCACUGCUCAUUAGGCCAUGUUGAGGCAGCAUCCCACAUGCCACAACUAGAAGGACCCACAACUAAAAUAGACAACUAUGUACUGGGGGGAUUUGGGGAGAAAAAAAAAGCAGGGAAAAAAAUAGAUUGGCAACAGUUGUUAGCUCAGAUGCCAAUCUUUAAUUAAAAAAAUAUGUAUUUUAAUUAUAUUUUUAUUCUAUUUUAAUUAAGAUAAAUUUUAAAAUUUUAAAAUAGAGAUUCAGCCCAGAGCCCUUCACUGUGUUCAUGUCACAAAGAGUCUGUGAUUGGCCAGGAAUGCACUGCCUCUAGAUCUCACACUUCUCUCUUAUUCUUUUCUUAUCCAAUUAAAAUGUUUAUAUUUUUUCCUUUGCUUUGUGUGGUCUUUUUGUCCUAAGCAAGGCAAUCGGGUGUUGGGGAGAGAGAUUAUGGACUCCUGAGUUCGACCAUCAGGUUUGUCUAGUUCUAGCUGUGUGUUCUUAGACAAGUCACUAACCUUCUCUGGGUUUCCAUCUAUUAAUAUGGUGAUUCCAAAUUAGCCAAGUAUUCAGUAAAAAAAACAAAAACAAAAGGUAAAACCAGACUCGCUUGUGAAUGUUUCAUCUGGCAUUUAUGAACCUUGUCACCUGCGGAUAGAUCAUCUCGUGAAUUGAUGAGGCAUCCUAAGAGACCACCAAAACUCAUUAAAUAGUCUUGGUUCACAUGAGAACUGUGCAGCUGCUCUGGCCCCUGGUGACACACCAAGUGUCAGUGGGUUCUGAGGGAGGCCCAGGGAAGGUUCUGUGCUGCCAUGAUUCAUAGGUUGAGUUUCCCUCUAAGCUUCAAGGCUUUGAUCACGUGUCCCCUGCUUUGAGAUGCAGGACCACAAGGGUCACAGGAUCUGAUUCACACACUGGUGGGUUUCCCUUGGGGUCCCCAUCAGGCUUUCCCAUGUAGGGUGAGAGUUCUCGUCCCUUGUCUUGGCAUUACACAUUGAUCUGGAGACACCAUGGUUCUGCAGGUGAAAGGUUGGGGUGAAUGGGUGUGAAAAGUGCGUGGGAGUCACAGCCCCAAAAGGUCUCUGGGAGUUUGUCUUUCCUGCUCCCAACACUGUUUUGCAUCUCUACCGUGAGCUUCUGUUUCUGAGCACCCCUUGAGCUAAGCUGAUCUGUUGAGCCGAUCUGUGGAGGAAUGAGGCCACUGUGAGCUACCUGCCGGGGCAGGUGACCUCACCCCUCCCAGCCUCUGCUUCCCACCCCGCUGGGUCUUUAAUAUGAAAUGAGACUGCAGUAGGUGCUGAGCUCGCAUCACCUUCCCAUUCCGCUUUCUGAUAUGGAAAGCAUCAUUUUAUAGGCUCUGAAUCUGUGUUCUGAGCUUCCAAAAGCCUACUGUAAACAUUUUACACAUUAACCAAAAUAAAACAAGAAGGCAGCACAGUGAAUGGAGAGAAUAUUAUUAGCAUGUUACACAUCUUAAAUUGGUAAAAAAAAAAAAAAAAGGAAUGAUGGAUCAUUUUCAUUUACGACUCUCACUCCCUGCUAAUUUUUCAGCAGCUCUCUCCUCGUCUCAAUAAAAUGCUGGAAAUCUAGUUGGCAUUGUUGCAAGUAAAUGCAGAGCCAGUCUCGACUGUCGCGCUGUCUCUCCCUGUAUUUGAUCCUCAUCCAGGUGAUCGAUACCAUUUUCAUUCAUAAUCCGGAAACUUUAAGAAAUGAAUCAGCUUGACCUAUGAUUCACAGAUACUUGAUCUGAAAUACUUGAUGUGGUUGUGAGGGGGUGGGAGGUAGAGUCAGAAAUAAAUUCCGUUGACCCCGAAAGUCAGCUUAGGUGAACUAGUAUGGUGGGGGAGGGCGAAUUAUCAUCCUGUGGUUUGUGUGGAUGGUUCCUGCUCUCAGGGAGCUGCACUGUAUUGGGGGGACUUAAGGUGGCCACACAACCAGGGUUGAUGAAAGAAUUCCAGGUUAUGCCCGUUGCUGCAGCCUCUUAGACGGUUAACGUGCCCUUCCACUAGCAGAAGUGUCACAGUGUGGAAAUAGAGGGUUCUGAAGAGACUAGACUGGGAGUUCUUAAAGGUCAGAGGUCUCAUUUUAUUCAUAUGUGCAUCCCCAGCGCCUGGCCUCUCGUAAGCAGUUAAUAAAAGAAAGACUUGCUAGGUGGGUGAGUGAGAACGUAAGUAGAUUCUUCACCUCCACUCUCUGAAUUUGGUCUCUGAAUUUCUGUUUCCCGUUUAUCUUUGUGUGCUCGGGCCGCUAGGGUGCCUCUACUGCGUUUUGACUGAACCAGAGAUUUCAGAACUUCAGCUGGGAAUCGCUUUGGUUGCAUGUACACGCCCUGGUGACCUGUAGCUUCACGACUUGCGGUGCGUUAUCCAAAUGAGUUUAUAACUUACCGAAGUACUGAAAACAGUGGCUUCCAUGAUGUCUCCUCCCAAGAAAUGGUGGUGGAGGUGGAGGUGAUGCUAUUCUUGUUAGCUGUCUGUCUUUGCUGCCUCUUGUCUUUUCUCCCCUAGCUAGAGGAUUCAUAGACCUUUAAAUACAUAUGUAUUUCAAAAAUAUAAGAAAUUGGAAAAAGAGAGUCAGAAAGCUAUCCAUAAUGUCAUGACCCUUGGUUACAUAGUAGCAAUUAUUAUUAAUGUGUGACUUGUUUUAUACAAAGUUUUUUACAUAGUUGUUAUCUUAAGGAGUUUUCCACUUUUUCUUCCAUCUGUAUUUUUCUGCAAGCAUUGCCCAUGUUAUUUGAGAACCUAUUCAACUACCAUUUGUUACUUUUAUCCAUAUGGUUGCUGGUAGAUGGUUGUUUACUUUUUUCCCUUUCGUAAAAGAAAUUUUCCUUCUGGGCUGUCCUGUAUCUCAAGAAAAUCUCAAAAGUGAAAUUAUUGGAUCAAAAGAUAUGAAUGUUGUUAAAUUAUAUGUAUAUCUAUAUUUAAAUGAAUAGAAUUUAUUUUUUAGAGAAAUUUUAGGUUUACAAAAAAUUGCGUAGAAAGUACAGAGAGCUCCCACAUCCUAGCCCCACCCCCAUUCCCCAUAUUGUUAACAUCUUGCAUUAGUAGGGUGCAUUUGUUACAGUUCAUGAACCAAAACUGAUACUUAUGGCUAAAGUCCAUAGUUUACAUUUAGGAUUCUGUGUUAAAUGGUUCUUUGGGAUUUUCGCAAAUGCAUAAUGUCACGUAGCCACCAUUAUAGUAUCAUGCAAAAUGGUUUUACAGCCCUAAAAAUCCCCUGGGCCCCUGUUAAUCCCUCCCUCCCUCCCUCUCUCAAACCCUUCGCAACCAGUGAUCUUCCACUCUUUCCAUCGUUUUGCCUUUCCCAGAACGUCAUAUAGUUGGAAUCACACAGUAUGUAGGCUUUCAGACAGGCUUCCUUCACUUAGCAGUAUGCGUUUAAGAUUCCUCUCCGUGUCUUUUCAUGGCUUGAUGGUUCAUUUCUUUUUAGGGCUAAAUAGUAUUCCGUGUCUGGAUGUACUACACUUUAUCUGUUCACUUACUGAAGGACAUCUUCAUUACUUCUAAGUUUUGGCAAUUAUGAAUAAAGCUGCUAUAAAUAUUCGUCUGCAGGCUUUUGAGGGGACAUGUUUUCAACUCAUUUGGUUAGACACCAAGGAAAGUGAUUGCUGGAUCACAUGGUAAGACUAUUUCUGUAAGUAACUGCCAAAGCUUUCUAUUUUUUACGUUUAUUCAACAGAUUUUAGUUGUAAUACCAUGAACAUGGUUAAUCCUCCAUCUACACUUAGUGUUAUAAUGAACACCCUCUCCUCAGUCUUUUUUUGUGUGUGAGGAAGAUUGGCUCUGAGCUAACAUCUAUGCCAAUCUUCCUCUAUUUAUUUGGGAUGCUGCCACAGCAUGGCUUGACGAGCAGUGCUAGGUCCACGCCUGGGAUCCGAACCUGAGAACCCUGGGCCACCAAAGCAGAGCACAUGAACUUAACCACUAUGUCAACAGGCUGGCCCCCUCUCCUCACUUUUAAGCCUACCGCUACCAUGUCACACAGAGAUGCUCAGAGUGGUGUUUUCAUCUGGAUCCAAGUAUAUUGUGGCCACAAAGUCUCAUAGCAUAAAAAUAGCAACAACAACAAUAAUAAUCUUGAUGAUAAUAAUAGCCAAGAAUUAUUGAUUACUUAGCAUUGUCAGGCUCUUUACAUGUGUUAUUUCAUUUCACCAUUACAGCUACCCUCUGGUUAGGUACCAUUACUACCCACAAUUUGGAGAUAAGAUCGAGGCUUAGGGAGAGUGAAUAACUUGCACAAGUGUUAGUGGUAAAGCCAAGUGUGCGUCCAUCUAGUUUUGCUCGACUCUGCUCAGCAAUGUAUUAUGCCAGAGUUAAGAGCAUGAGAUUUAGAGUCAGAUGGACGUAGGUUAGUAUUCUGGACCUACCAUUUUGCCAGUCAUGUGAUCUUGACCUGGUGACUUCUAGCUGCAGUGUGCCCAUCUGUAAAAUGGGAUAAUAACACCUACCCAUGGCAAAUGCUGUCUGUUGUCUCCUCAAUAGCUAUGGCCUCCCCACCACACAGAACCAGGUUCAGGUGUUAGGGAAGAGGCCCCAGAUCUCAGGGAAGAGAGGCCCCAUCCCAGCCUCCUGAAAUGAAUCAAGAUUGGUUUAAGUCAGAUAUGGUAAUGGUGGGCAUGUUAUCUAGUUUUGUUGGGGUAAGCAUGCUAGGGAGGGGUUCUCUUCCCAAGUAAAAAGACAAAGCCCCCCAUAGGGGAAGCUCAUACUUAUCUUUUCUUCCUGCCUGGAUGUUGGGCAUGAUACCUGGAGGUGCAGCAGCCAUCUUGCAAGCCUAAGCUGACAAGCUAAUAGACUAAAAUGGUAGAGCAGAAAAGAUAGAAAGAGCCUAGGUCAUUGACAGCAUCGUUAAGCUGUUCGACCAGCCCAAGACAGAAGACUACCUCCACGCUUUUUGCUAUUGAAACAGUUCUUACUUGUUUAUGCCACCCCAAGCUGAGUUGUCUUCUCUUUGCAGCUGAGAGCAUUUCUAAUAGAUAAACAGUUUUCCACCAAAGCACAGGGUUGAGUAACUUAGUAUGAUGGUUGAGAGCCCAAAUUCUAGACUUGGAGUUCUGGGGUUUUAUUCCUAGUUCUUCCACCAACCAGCUGUGUGACCUGGACAAGUCACUGAGCUUCUCUGUGCCUCACUGUCCUCAUCUGUAAAAUUCCCAAUAAAUGUGUACUGGGAUCGAAUGAGGGAUAAUAGUGCUACUUACCUCCCAAGAUUAUUAUGAGCGUUCAUAAAAUGACUAAGUAUUUUAUAAAAUGACUAGAGCAUAGCCCGACACAUAGUAAGUGGUUAUACGCAUGUUUGUCAAAAAAAAAACAAUUAAAGAAAAGGAGUCACUAUUACUGGCUUCAGUUUGAACCCCGAUGUGAUCCUUGGGCCACAUGCAGUAUUCAAGCAGAAGCUUGACCCUUUCACUCCCCAGACUCAUGGAGCAUGAAGCUCCCACUAAAAUCUGUCUCAAAGCAGCAACAGGUGGUUUCUUUUUAACAGAAAAGAUUCCUUAGAGCAGGUUGACUUAAAACAGGAGGGGCUGUGAUAUCAAGGCGUGUCAGGGAGUGAAUGACCGAAAUACCCAAACUUGCCCAUGCAAAUGGCUCUGAGUCUCCCCUGACUGCCCUUUAGAAGGUUCUAGACUUCUGUGAACUCCUUUUUGAAAGGGUCUUUCCACCAGUGGCUUAUUCUUUUGAAUCUCCUUACACCUUUCUUGCUGGUGGCUGGUGGGUGGGAGUGGGGAGGAAGGGGUGACACCUGCCUGCGUUCGGGGCCCUUUUCCCUUGUGAGGGACGAGACCGCUGGCCAGUAUGUGAGGGAGCUGGCUGGACCUGGUCUCUCUCACUGUCUACUGCCCACAGUGCCAUCCUCUGUAAAGAGCAGAUUUGAAUUUGGGCAGCAACUCAGCAUUUUUUGGAAACCUAUCUCGUUUGUGAGCUUAAAGAUAGACGUGCCCAUUACCAAAUCCAGUGGAAUCUUCCUUCAAAAUAUAUGCCUGUUCCACUCCUCACCCUCGCCUCCAGAGACAGUCCACACCAGGCCACCUCCCCUUCUGCCUGGAUUACUGCCUCGUAACUGGCCUUCCCGUUUCUACCCUCCCCUUCCUUCUCCCUCAGCAGCCAGGGGACCCUUUAAAAAUGUCAACCAAAUCAUUGGACUCACCUGCUGAGAACCCUCCAAUGGAGUCCCAUCUCACUUGGAAUAAAGUCCUCAGUCCCUACUGUGCCCUACGAGGCCCUCCCUGCCACCCCCGCUCACUCUACUCUCCCCACUGGCCUGGCUGUCAGUCAAACAUACCUAAGCACAGGCUGGCCUCAGGGCCUUAGCACGGAAUGUUCCCCUUUUUCCCUCUAUACCUGCCUGGCUCAUUUCCUCACCUCAUUCAGAUCUCUGCUCAGAUGUCAACUCCCAGAGAGGCCUUCCCUGGUCACCCCCUCUAACACAGGUCCCCUCACCCCUCAUUUUCUGUCGUUAUCUAUAGUUCAUAGACUUGCUGACAUUAUUACAAAUUUGGUGACUUUCUGCCUUCCCCAUCAGAAUAUAAGCCCUACAAGGAAAGAGGCAUUGUUUUGUUCAUUCAGGUACCCACAGAACCCAGAACAUUCUGCAAUUGGUGCUCAGUAUAUAGUAAACUAGAUAAAGCCUUUUUUUGGACAGAAAUAAGGUCUGUCUGACAAAGUUCUAAGCCUGAUGUCUCUUGUGAACCUGCCAAGUUGACCCUGAAUCCACUUCCCGGAAAGCUCCAGAUACAUUCUGGAUGAUGGGAGCAACGCCGGACCAGUGUUGAACAUCCCAAAGCAAGUACUUUGAGAAUGAAAGUGUGGGAGCCUGGAUGACUCCUCCUGCAUUUGUCUAAAAAUCCUCCUUAGCACCUUUAGUUCCUUUUCUCCCUUCCUCUGCUCCUGGGCACCAGACAAGCAAUCCCAAAUGUGGUGUCUUUGCACCGGUCAGAUCAGAGUUCUCAUCUGGGGUGGUUUAAAAACAACAUGGCCCCAUUCCUUGACAUUCUCCCCUUUGAAAGAUGGGAUCUGGGUCCUUUCCUUGAGUGUUGUGAUGGCUUCAAGCAGUAGUCACACAAGGGCACGCAGCUCCUGCCUGGUUUCUUUGGGAUGCCAUUCUGGGGAAGUACUCAGACUCCGUGCUGAAGAAGCCACAUGUACAUGCCCUGGUCCAUGGUCUCAGCUGAGCUCGCAGCCAGCACCCAGCACUGGCCGACAGCCAUGCCGGCUGCCAUCUUGGAUGUUAGGACCAUUUGCACUUUCAAAUGACCACAGCCCAGUGACAUCUGACUACAGGGUCAUGAGAAACACCCAGCCAAGCCCUUCCCGAAUUCCUGACCAAAAACUCAUGAGUAACAUAAAACGAGUAUUGUUUUACAACGCUAAGUUUUGCAGUAACUUGUACUCAGGAAUAGUAACCAGGACGCCACCCUAACCCUUCCCUAUGGACUAAGCAAUCUUGAGCAAAUUUCCUUUAAUACUCUGGGCAUGAGAUUUCUCAUGUGUGAGUUUGGAGUGACAGUCUAUAUUUAUGUGGCUGUUGUUUAGAUCAAAAGCAAAUUUUGUCUCAAACCUAGCAAGGUUCCCAGCACAUCCUGCCUUUCCUCAAAUCUAAGAUGCCGUCCAUUAUACAACUCACACUUAACUUAUGUGCCACUAAGAAAGAAACAAAUGCUUUCUAUUAAACUACUGAAUGCCACUGGUUGUAGGACACACACCUGUCUGGGAGAUGUUGAAAUUUGCAAAGAUGUGUAUCUUAGGAUCUUUGAUUUAAAGAGAGAUUAACACAAUCAUCUAGUUAAGUACAGGCACAGAACAAGACCACCGAGAUUUGAGUUUGUGAGAAACGGGGAACUUAAAGCAAAUGUGUCUUUGUAUGAAAGUCUCUAAUUUGCUGUCCCAUUUUACACAAUAGAAUGCAAAGAUCAGUAGAGACAACCUUGUAGUUCAGGCAGAAAGCACCUUCCUCAGGCAGCUGUCAAAGGGUUAGAAUUCAAAUGACAUGGCAUCACAGUUAUUUAACAGAAAUGUAUCUUGCAGAAGAAAGGAAGUCAGAUCCCUAAGUGUGGCUGUGAGUAAUAGUUUUUCUUAGUGGAAACUCACCUCUAGUAAUUAGUAAUAGACCAACCCCCUUUUCUCUUUGGUUUUUGAAUCGUUUCUUUUUUAGAACAUUAACUAGUAGUUCCGUGAGAGAUGUCAGCCAGUGAGCAAAAGGGGUCUGGGCAGUGAGCAGGAUGGCAGGAGACCCAGGCCACAUCUAGUGGAGCAGAAACACAAAGAAGCAUCAGAGUGUCAGCAGACUUGAAGCUAAGCCUGAAUAUGGAGUGCCUCAUUUAGUCAGUUCAGCCACGCAGAGUGUUCCUAUGUUGGCCCUCAUUUGAAAUGUGAGCCCGCUUCAGGACCAGUGAAGUGGAAUGUCUUGCUCAAAGUUACAUAGCUUGGUUCAUUAGACAGAGAGCCUAUGCUCUUAGCCACAGUGCUGUGUGCAUCAAAAUGUUUGCAAAGACAUGGAAGUGGGUUCAUAUGAGACUCUAGCCGGCCCAGGACUCUCAGCACAGCUAUCUUUCCAGCCUUACCCAAACAGGGAAUUCCUUUUCAUACCUCCUUGCUUUUGCCAAAGGGAGUUUUCUACCAAUCAGUUUCUUCUUGCCUCCCCCUUUUCCUGGUGAAACCAAACCAUCCUUCAAGGCCCAGCUCAAAUGGGGCAUCUUAACCCUUGUUCCUACAGGGUGAUUCCUAGCUGCCCUGGACUCCCAGGGCAUUGUCCCCGGGGCCCCUUGGCUGGCCCUCCUGGUGGUGUUGGUGGUUUCUGUUGGUCACACCUAUGAGACUGGAAGUUUCCUGAGGCUCUGGAAUUAGACUGAGUCAGAAUCCCACCUCUACAACUUACAGCUUGUGUUCUUGGGCAAGUUUCUUAGCUUUCUGGGCUUUAAUUUUCUCAUCUACAAAAUGAGAAUAUCAACUUCCCAGGAUUGUCAUGAAAAUUGUGUGUUUGCUGAGAUGGCAUCGUGAGGGCUGAACACUGUUCUUAUGUGAGAGGCGCUUGCUCAGUCUCUGCGUGCGUCAUCUCCUUUCGUCUUCACGCCCACCCUCUGAGGUUGGUUCUUUUACCAUCAUGCCCAUUUACAGAUGAGGUGACACCGUAUGCUCAUGGCCCCACAGCCAGAAUGUGACAAAACUGGGCUCUAAUCUUACCUUUUAAAACUCGCCUCUCUUGACAGGAUCCCGGCGGAAACCUUCCAUGGACUGCAUUCUGAGGAGGUUUUGUCACGUACCAACCUCUUUAGAUGUGCUUUAAUUUGGGUCUUAAUUUCCAACUCAUUCUUAUCUAGGAGAUCUUUACCCUGAUUUGAAGGAAAAUGAUGCUGCAACCAGCUUAGUCUCAGUAGAAGGUUUACACACAGCAUGUGCCAAUAACAGGUACUUCCACCCUUGGGCUCUUCCGGGUGGUGACUUAUCAGCACCACAAUUGUCCAUUUAUAUUGUGAACCAAACACAUGGAUCAGACUAUUGGCCUUGAAAAGCUCAAGCACAGCCUUCAGUGAAAUUCAGUUUCCACUUCAUUCUUUAGUCCAAAGGUUGUGACAAUGGCAGUCUCCGUCUCCCUCGUAUGACUUGGCUGGUUGGGUUUCUCUCUGGUUGACUGUAUUCCUGGCCUCUUGGGGACCCUCUAAAAUGGCAGGCAGAGGAAAGGAGGCAUUUCUGUGUGCUGCCUUCAUUUGUUCCUCAAGGGGUUUCGGCUAAACUCCCUAAACAAAAUGAAUUUGAUUUUAUCUGCCAGAGAACAUUCUAAGUAAAAAGAUCAAGAGCCAUCACCCCAUUGAGCUCUCUCCCCACAUCUCGAGAAGGCUGGGCUCCUUGGAGUGGAGAGUGGGCUGGGACCCCAUUCUGGCAGCAUAGCGGAGAUCUUCCUGCCUCAGUGUGGAUCUGGUGAAUGCUGAGGGACUCAGGGUGGGCUCCGAGGUGGACUCAUUGUCCCAGCUCACUGUGCAGACAGGGCAGUAAGUGCCAGGCCUGGGACUGUGGCCGUAACCUUGGCCGGUGGUCGGCCUUUACUUUCAGCAGCAGCAGAGGGAUCGUAACUGUGGUAGAGAAGGAUGUCGAGGCAGAAAUUGUUGAGGAUCUACACUGUGUCAAGCACUGAGAGAGUUUCUUCAGAUAUUUGGGAUUUUGAACGUAUCUACUCUUCUAAUUUAUUUCCAUCGUCCUCAGAGAACAUGUUCUGUGUGAUUUCGCUCCUUUGAAAUGUAUUGAGAGUGAUCUCGUGGUUCAACAUAUGGCCUGUCUUGGGGAACGAUGCAUGUGAACUUGAAAAGAAUGUGUCCUCUACAGGUUUGGGGUGGCGUGUUCCAUAGACAUUGGUUGUGAAAGACCCAGGACUCCGCCUGGUACAGAACAAUCUUCACUCUGCGGCGCCCCCAGGGGAGGGCAAGUGGGAGACAUCCAUGUGGGUGAAGAGGCACGGCCAGCCCCCCAACCCCAGGUGGCAGACUCUAUGCCAACUUGUCCUCCAUGUGGCCCCCAUAAGAAGAAAGGCCAAGAACUCUAAAAAGACCUCUGAGGCCAAGAGAAAAUGUCCAGGGAUUUGCUCGACGGAGAGAAGCUGGCCCUUGGAGAUGAGGAGGGGUGUAUGUACGUAAGACUCUCUCUCCCCAGCUGCUCUCUCUCUUCUCCUCAGGCCUUCAGCAAACAUUUAUCAGAGACUUGCUCUUCCUGGUAGCUGUUCUAUGUGUGGGGAUGUAAGGAUCAACAUUGCCCCUGUCCUCCCAGAAUUUUCAGGCCACCGGGAAUACAGGUAAUUAAACAGGCAAUUAUGCCCAACAGGGCAGGGGGCAUGCCUGGAAAAGUACGUAUAUAUCAGAAUAGAGCCGCUCUCGCUUUUUUCCUCCCUCUCUCCUCCUCCGUUACACAGAUCUGCAGAUCAAACAGGAGGAUUUCCGCAGGGAAGCUGAAAGGUAGAGAUGACAUGGUGCUAUCUGUCAACCUAUUAGAAAGCUUGAUGUAAUUAUUUCGUGAAGGGCAAGGGAUGUUGCCCUGGGAGAGGGGACCCUGGAGGUUCACGGAGUAGAGAAGAGAUACUGUGCAGACAAGGAAAAAAGUCUUUCCUGAGGUUGGUAAAUUUGUAUUUAUGGAAUUGGUUACAGGAGGCCCCAGUGGGAGGUUUUUCUUUCAAAUAGGUUUUGGCAACUCCAUAGAAGACGGUCUUUGCCCACCUUUGGUGAGCUCAUGGUUUCUGUUUCUUUUCUCACCAAAUUGUAUGCCUAAACUUCUAGAAAAUAGUCAUAUUGACCCACUUAAAUUUUCCACCUUUUUAAUUGCCCUUGUUCCUGGGUGGAGGGAGUAUAAUGAGCUAGCAGUGGGAGGUGGGGGUGGGAGGCGAAAGGUUAGACUGUCUUUGAUGAGCUGGGAGGAAGGCCUGGGGCUGCGUGAUCAGAGAAUGUGGUUCUUCGGUGGCCUUUGGGGUCACUUAUUAGGUUUGGGAACACUAGUUGGGAGUUCACCAAACAGCGUGCAGCCCAUGAGGGUGGGCGACUCUUUGUGGGAGCUGAGGAGAAGCCUGAGGAUCAGGGAGGACCCAUGCUAUACCCUGGGAGGUGGCAGAGGCUGUGGGCCCCACGAGACCCAACACCAGUAAUGGAGGAACUACUGGCAGCCGCUUGCUUAUAUCCCCCAUCCUCAUUACCACCCUGGGACCCAGGGAUCUGCAUUUUACCCGUGAGGCGACAGACACUGAGCAUAGUUAAGCCAAGUCGCUCAGCUCCGGCUAGAAGUGGUGGAUUUGAGAACUGAUUCCACACAAUCCCGGGCUCUGAGACCUUGGCUUCCAUUGCCACAUGCCCAGCUGCUUCCCUAGAGCUUUGGGGGCAGCUCCUGGAAUCAGGCUGCCUGGAUUCAGAUCCCAGCUCACUAUUCAACAGAACAAUGAUCCGAGGUCAGUUCCUCACCCUCGGGUUCCUCCUUUGUAAAAUGGGCUGGUUUGGUCACCGUGCUCAAGGACUGUUCUCGAUGCCCCAUUGAGCUCGUGCGGUGCAUGUAAAGCUCUGAGCACACGUGUAAGUGCUCCGUACGUGUUGGUUACCGUGCUUGUUAUUAACCCAGCAGGACAAGGAGGAAGGUUGGGGGCGUCCCGGGUGUGCUGUCGCUCCUCUGUUUCCUCCUCCCACUGUCCCGACUGGCAGGCAAUCAGGAGUUGGUUUUUCUGGUACAAAGCUUGCCCUGGUAUCCUGGAGUGACCUGCAGGCCUGAGAUUAUUGUACAGGCCCACACGCCCAGCCAAAUUUACCGCUCGCCUCGGUGGCCCCCUCAGCCUGUGCCUCUGUAGUUGAGAGAAACCGCUACCCUUCAGCCCGCGUUCUCGCUCUGGAAAGGCCUGACCUUUAUUCAGAAUCAUCCUCCAGUCCCCACGUCACACACAGGCUCGUUCACCCACUCCCUCCCCCGGCACGCCCUUUGUUUUCUCUCUUUGGGGGAGAUAAUGGGGACCACAGUGUCUCCAAGACAGCUGUUUUUCCUUCGUCUCUGUCUCUGUCCUUCUAACUCUCUGUUCCCCAGUGGGGUCUCUCUGACACAGGAGGGUACAGUGAGGAUAUGAAGGUGUUGAAGGACAGGGCUGUAGCGUCAAACAGCCUGGGCUUAAUCCUCUGAGGUCCAGAACAACUGCCCUUCACUUAACGUUCCUCAUGGGCAUGCC